rnacentral:lncRNA from 1 species
UAAAUCUCUUUUUUGACAAAAUCUCUGCCAUUUUUUAUUAUAAUCUGCCUGGAUGGUUUCACCACUCUUUAUUAUUUGCGUGACUCUGGUACAUAUUCACAUUUGCAGCAUAAAGUAUUUCUGACCAAAACCCACAAGCCAAAAACCGUAGCCCUUCUAGGCAUGAGGCAGAGACCAGCUAGCUCUUCAUCAAAGCAUUUUCCCCUCUCCUCCUGGGCACACAGCUAAACUACAUCUCCCAGUUUCUUUUGCAGUUGGCUUUGGCUUUGUCAUUGAGCUCUAUCUAAUGGAAGAGGAGUGUCACUCUCUUUUCUUUAUCUUCUUGCAUCUAACGGCUAGAUAUCAACAACCUAAGUAAUCUUGGAAGCUGCACUGUAUAACUACAAAGACUUCAUCAAUCUGGGUUCUUGCAUGCUGCCAGGACUACGCUUUCCAAUGGUCCUCUCCCCCAUAGAAUACUGGAUUCUAACUUAAUGUUGUCUUAAGUCACUGAUUUUUGAAGAGUUACCUUAAUUAAUCCAAGACAUAAUCAUCCAUCUCUACAUGCUUCCUCUCAGGAAACCCAACCAUCAAUCCUGAGGAAAGAAAAAGGAGGAAGAAGUGGUCUGGAACUGAAUUCACAAGAUCUCCAAAGUAUGCCUGCACCCCUUUACUGAAAGAUUUCCUUCAAGAAAGAAAAAAAGGACCUACAUUAGUCUAUUCUGGUUGCCAUAACAGAAUACCACGGACUGGGUGGCUUGUGCAACAGAAAUUUAUUUUUCUCCUAAUUCUGUAAUUGCUAUUUUCUAGAAUAUCUGAGAGUAAGUUGUAGUUACUUUCAGAAUUGUUCUGCCCUGAGAAUAUUUCAUUUUUCCCCCAAGAGUGUUACUAACAAGUUCCUAAAACCUCCUAAAAGUCCAUUGAACCCACAGAAUUUGCCAAAUUGCAGCACUGGUGGUAGCACUGAAUAAUGGGAUCAUUGAAGGAAAAGGAAGAUUGAAAGAAGCUCCUCAUGUGCCUGUGGUCUAGCCCUACUUAAAGUUUUGAAAUAGAAAUUUUUCCUUGAUAUGGUACUCCUAGGAUACAACCUAGGAGUACGCUCCAAGGUUAAAAUGC